rnacentral:rRNA from 1 species
UACGAAGGGGGCUAGCGUUGCUCGGAAUCACUGGGCGUAAAGGGUGCGUAGGCGGGUUUUAAGUCAGAGGUGAAAUCCUGGAGCUCAACUCCAGAACUGCCUUUGAUACUGGAGAAUCUUGAGUAUGGGAGAGGUGAGUGGAACUGCGAGUGUAGAGGUGAAAUUCGUAGAUAUUCGCAAGAACACCAGUGGCGAAGGCGGCUCACUGGCCCAUAACUGACGCUGAGGCACGAAAGCGUGGGGAGCAAACAGGG